UUUUUAAUUGGAAGAGAAACAGAGACAGAAACAGAAGCAGAAAAAGAAACAGUUGGAGGUGUGCAUGAAGAAAAGCCUACUGAGCCCACAAUCUUUGAUACGGAUCAGGCAUCUCAGUCAACGCCUCUAUGUUCCCUUCUUACUUUGGUUCUGAUAGUUCAUCCGCUGCUCAGACUACUAUAGCAGACACACUGCACAUUACAGGACCCUGUUACACAGUCUGAACAGAAGUCCAGGAAGAAGAAGAGCAGACGAACAGAUAACCUGAACGAAAGACAUGUGGACAUCCAGUACAGACAGACACACACAUGCACAUGCACUCACAGAGCUCAAGCAAACACAACGUUGCAUCCAUGACAAACCAUGACAACACACAGCUUGCAAGCUGUAAAUGAAAAGACACAUUGUUCGCUAUUCUUUGUCACAGCAAAACAGACGCACAGAGGUCAGAGGUCUCAUAGGCUGGAUGAGUGGAAUGGAAUAUGAAUGUGAAAUAAGGCUAAACUAAAUGACAGGUUCUUUUGUGGGUAUUUGUUCAGGUUGUGACUCAGAGGUGAUUUGAGGAGCCUGAAUAACAAAGAAACUGAGAAAAACAAGAUAUUUCUCUUUUUUAAUGCACAGAUGUGCAGGCUGUCCACUGUCAUGUAAAACAAUGCCAUUUUUGGCAAUAAUCAAAAUAAUUUUAAUACAUUUGUCUCUUUUAUGAAACUUUGUUUAAGCAUAUUUUUUUUAUCUAUAAUGUGCACAUCCUUUGAUUGCCAUGACAAAAAUACAUGUGUCAAAGAUGUAAUUGAGACACAAGAAAAUCCGUCAUUAGUGUUACAUAAUGUACAAUUUUAGUAUGCCAAUUUUAUCUUAAAGCAAAGCUUUACACAAACUAAUUUGGAUUCACGUUAUGUUUGGGAAACACACUGAAGUUUUACAAUUAGACUCAGCUUUUCUAGUCAUUUUAAGCAUCAUGACCUCUUGCAGAUAUUAUAUGUAGGCACUUUCCUUCACCACUGCACUUCUAAGCCUCACUAUUUCUUCAGUAAUCCUCGAUACA